UACGGGGGGAGCAACCGUUGUUCGGACUCACUGGGCGUACAGGGCGUGUAGGCGGCUGGAUAAGUGGGAUGUUAAAUCCCCCGGCUCAACCGGGGACCUGCAUCUCAUACUGUUCAGCUCGAGCACAUCAGAGGAGACUGGAAUUCCCGGUGUAGCGGUGAAAUGCGUAGAUAUCGGGAGGAAUACCAGUGGCGAAGGCGGCCUUCUGGACGGAUACUGACGCUGAGGCGCGAAAGCCAGGGGAGCAAACGGG
rnacentral:rRNA from 1 species